rnacentral:rRNA from 1 species
UACGUAGGGGGCUAGCGUUGUCCGGAAUCAUUGGGCGUAAAGCGCGUGUAGGCGGUUCGGUAAGUCCGCUGUGAAAGUCGGGGGCUCAACCCUCGAAAGCCGGUGGAUACUGUCGGGCUAGAGUGCGGAAGAGGCGAGUGGAAUUCCUGGUGUAGCGGUGAAAUGCGCAGAUAUCAGGGGGAACACCAAUUGCGAAGGCAGCUCGCUGGGACGUUACUGACGCUGAGACGCGAAAGCGUGGGGAGCAAACAGG